GGCGUAGUUCACCAAUGCUUGGAUAUCAUCAGUCUUCUCCUGCAACCUUUCAGCUUGCUUUCUCAGAUUUUCGGCAUUUUUGUUAUACUGAUAAAGAUAUCUUAGUUGAUUCCCGAGAGGGGCCACUGUAUAGUCAACAACUUUUGCCACCAAUGAAGCACCUAAUGUCAUCCAUGGCUGCAUUGUCUCUAGACUCUCUAGUCUCCCACCUGAAGUAUGUGUCAAAUGAAGGUUUUGAGUAUAUAAAUAAUCUUUCUAUAUCUGGAAAUUAUGAAGUAUGACAGUAAGUAGGUUUGUAUUAAUAUUCUGAAUCCUAGAUGAAACUUUUUCUCAUGUUGCAAAUACUCAUUUUAUAUA
rnacentral:misc_RNA from 1 species